CCAGAAUAUAUAGAUAAUUAUAUGUUGUAGAAAAUCAUCAGUCUUAUUUGAAGAUCAGUUGCAGAAAAUCAUGUAGAAAAUCAUCAGGUCGAAUAAGUCUGAUGAUGUCUUUGGAACAAAGACGAAAUAUUACAUCAUAUGUCAUUAUAAGUUCUUAACUAGCACUUAAAACGUUCAAACUUGAUUGUUUUCAUUUAAAUAAAUGUUUCUUUUUAGGAAUGAAAGAAGAUUAAACAGUAAGAAAAACAUGACUCGAAAAUCCCUAAUACCCAUGUUCAUGAAUGAAAGAUGAUGGACUAAAGAGGAAGAAAAAAAAGGGAGGUUUUGUUAGUUUUUCACAAAAUAUUUAUUGGCUUUAAAUUAGAAAAUUUUACCUUAAUAAGAAUCAAACUUCCCAAUUAA